rnacentral:lncRNA from 1 species
AAUUCCCUGUUAAAUCCAUCAAGUGAACCCAGCUCCUUUUUGGGGGCUGCUCCAUUAAGCUGGCAGCUGCAGAACCUGAUGUAAGCCUGCAUGUGGGACAGCUCAGCGGCCAGGAUGUCCCCAAUCAUCUGCACCGGCAUCUUCUCGCCCCCGGUCUUCUUCCGCACCCGCAAAGCCCUGCCAAGAACACACUCUCAUUUUGUGUUUCUAAGUGAAUGACUUAGGUAAUUAAAGGAUGAACAGAGACAGCAUUUGGAGGAUGUGAGAGCUUCCGUCACUAUUUGUGAAUUCACACAUCAAAAGUGAUGCCUUGCUUUGACUCUGCGUGGAGGCAGCCCUGAGUCUGAUGCCCACCAUCUCUCAUGAGAGACAGCAGAUACCCCGAGAGCUAGCCAGCAGCAGCCUCCUCACCUCGACGACGAGCUGAAGGACUGUGCAGAGCGUGUGAAGAAUCUCACCACCUCAAGACAUUUUUCGAAGUUACUGAAAUGAUUAAAUGAAUCAGAUGCUUCAGACCACUCCAAACUGCAGGUCAUGAGCCAUUAGUGGGUCAUUAUAUCAUUUUGGUUUUAAAAUGCUGGUCAGGCCCAGCAUUAAAAAAUAAAUAAAUAGAAAUUACCAUGCAUA